rnacentral:rRNA from 1 species
AUUGAACGCUGGCGGCAGGCCUAACACAUGCAAGUCGAACGAGUGGCGGACGGGUGAGUAAUGUCUGGGAAACUGCCUGAUGGAGGGGGAUAACUACUGGAAACGGUAGCUAAUACCGCAUACCAUCAGAUGUGCCCAGAUGGGAUUAGCUAGUUGGUGGGGUAACGGCUCACCAAGGCGACGAUCCAUAUCUGGUCUGAGAGGUUGACAAGACACACUGUAACUGUGCCACGGUCGUGACUCCGACGGGAUGCGACAGUGUGGAAUAUUGCAGAAGGGGCGAAAGCCUGAUUCAACAAUGCCGCGUGUAUGUAGAAGGCCUGCGGGUUGUAAAGUACUGUCAGCGGGUAGGCGUUAUCCGCGGAAGAAGCACCGGGUCACUCCGUGCGAGCAGCCGCGGUAAUUC